CACUUAAUGACCACAUUUUCUUUGUUUCUACAGACCAAGGGGGAAAGAAGACAGUGUGGGGCCAAUCAUCUUGACUCUCUUGUCUGAUGUAUUCAAAAAGUCUGCAGGCGGAGUUGUGCAGAAGGGGGACUCUUCCAGGGAAGUCAUAAUAUGGAAGUCGCCGUAAAAGCAUUCCAGGUUCUGCUAACUCCAGAAGGACCUUUGAAGAGUGAAAUCUGAGAGCUCGGGGACCCAAAAGCGCUCCUAGAGAGGGUUAGGUCUACAACCGCAGGCUCCUGACUUCCUUGAAAUGAAGUGGAUGUGGCAGAAGUGAUUAUCUGGGACUUUCAAAGGUGAACCUACUUCCUGAAGAAGAUGGAUGAAUUAACAGAAUCUGCUGCUAGAGAUCAACCUAUAAGCCUUCUGGUACCAGAGGUCCGAUCUGCCUCCACACUCACUCCUUCCACGUCUCCUCCUACCCCAAUCCCACUAGAAUAUUUUAGAAGUGAGCAAAAGCAAUCUGCUAAGGCAAUGCUCUGUUAUUCAGGAAUCCUCGGAAUUAAAGCUCCUGGUCAUUUUAGAAAUUAAGACUUUGCUACCCAUUGCUCUCUUAUUCUCCUCCUCAGCCUGGCUCUGAUUUCAUAUCUGCUUUCCUGUUUCCUGGACUAAUAAAGCAUUUCACAUGGCCAA